rnacentral:lncRNA from 1 species
GUCCUCCACUGAUGUUACCAUUACGCAGUCUGUGAUUAAACAUGCUGUCACUCUCUGCUGUUUACAGAUAAUAAUGCUGCUUUCUCUCCAUUCCUACACUAUCAGUCUCAUUAGGAAGGUUUAUGGGUAAAUUAGUCAGUGUGGGACUGCGGGAUAUCUCCACAUGUGUCCGCUGAGUGCUGAAACCUUAGACUCCGGGAUGGCCAGAUAUGGACUGGUGGCUCUGAACCACCGUGUGUCCCUGGGGGCUGAGGUCUAGUCCCACACCAAGGCUAACCCGUGCUCCUGAGUUUAACCGCUGUUCCCAUGUUGUUUCCCUUUACAGGAACCCUUUCAGGGGCUCAAACCUCCCGCUUUUACUUCAAGAUUUUCAGCAUUCAGCACAACACAGGUAAUAGCUCAGCUCUGAGAAUUACACAUUUUCUGGCCCUGU